UAAAUAAAUAAGCUCAUAUACUAAAACUGGAAUGAUACAGAGAAGACUAGCAUAGCCCCUGCACAAGGAUGACAUGCAAAUCUGUGAAGUGUUCCAUUAAAAA